UACGGAGGAUCCAAGCGUUAUCCGGAUUUAUUGGGUUUAAAGGGUGCGUAGGCGGCCUAUUAAGUCAGGGGUGAAAGACGGUGGCUCAACCAUCGCAGUGCCUUUGAUACUGAUGGGCUUGAUUGCAGCUGAGGUAGGCGGAAUGUGACAAGUAGCGGUGAAAUGCAUAGAUAUGUCACAGAACACCGAUUGCGAAGGCA
rnacentral:rRNA from 1 species